AUUGAACGCUGGCGGCAGGCCUAACACAUGCAAGUCGAAAGAGGGGCGGACGGGUGAGUAAUGUCUGGGAAACUGCCUGAUGGAGGGGGAUAACUACUGGAAACGGUAGCUAAUACCGCAUACCAUCAGAUGUGCCCAGAUGGGAUUAGCUAGUUGGUGGGGUAACGGCGCACCAAGGCGACGAUCCCUAGCUGGUCUGAGAGGAUGACCAGCCACACUGGAAUUGAGACACUGUCCAGACUCCUACGGGAGGCAGCAGUGGGGAAUAUUGCACAAUGGGCGCAAGCCUGAUGCAGCCAUGCCGCGUGUAUGAAGAAGGCCUUCGGGUUGUAAAGUACUUUCAUCGGGGAGGAGUUCCCCGCAGAAGAAGCACCGACUAGCGCCGUGCCAGCAGCCGCGGUAUGUC
rnacentral:rRNA from 1 species